rnacentral:rRNA from 1 species
AUUGAACGCUGGCGGCAGGCCUAACACAUGCCAGUCGAGCGGAUGAAGGGAGCUUGCUCCUGGAUUCAGCGGCGGACGGGUGAGUAAUGCCUAGGAAUCUGCCUGGUAGUGGGGGAUAACGUCCGGAAACGGGCGCUAAUACCGCAUACGUCCUGAGGGAGAAAGUGGGGGAUCUUCGGACCUCACGCUAUCAGAUGAGCCUAGGUCGGAUUAGCUAGUUGGUGGGGUAAAGGCCUACCAAGGCGACGAUCCGUAACUGGUCUGAGAGGAUGAUCAGUCACACUGGAACUGAGACACGGUCCAGACUCCUACGGGAGGCAGCAGUGGGGAAUAUUGGACAAUGGGCGCAAGCCUGAUCCAGCCAUGCCGCGUGUGUGAAGAAGGUCUUCGGAUUGUAAAGCACUUUAAGUUGGGAGGAAGGGCAGUAAGCUAAUACCUUGCUGUUUUGACGUUACCAACAGAAUAAGCACCGGCUAACUUCGUG